rnacentral:rRNA from 1 species
GACAGAGGGGGCAAGCGUUGCUCGGAAUCACUGGGCGUAAAGGGCGCGUAGGCGGGAUGGCAAGUCAGUCGUGAAAUCUCUCGGCUCAACCGAGAAACGUCGGCUGAUACUGCCGUUCUUGAGGGAUGCAGAGGAGACUGGAAUUCCCGGUGUAGCGGUGAAAUGUGUAGAGAUCGGGAGGAACACCGGUGGCGAAGGCGGGUCUCUGGGCAUUUCCUGACGCUGAGGCGCGAAAGCGUGGGGAGCAGACGGG